rnacentral:rRNA from 1 species
CAGUAGCCGCGGUAAUACGAAGGGUGCAAGCGUUAAUCGGAAUUACUGGGCGUAAAGCGUGCGUAGGCGGUUUGUUAAGUCUGUUGUGAAAUCCCCGGGCUCAACCUGGGAAUGGCAAUGGAUACUGGCAAGCUAGAGUGUGUCAGAGGAUGGUGGAAUUCCCGGUGUAGCGGUGAAAUGCGUAGAGAUCGGGAGGAACACCUGUGGCGAAAGCGGCUCACUGGACCAUUACUGACGCUGAGGCACGAAAGCUAGGGGAGCAAACAGGAUUAGAUACCCCCGUAGUCCCUGUCUCUUAUAC